GACGAACGCUGGCGGCGCGCCUAACACAUGCAAGUCGAACGAGCGAGAGAGAGUUUACUUUCUCGAGCGAGUGGCGAACGGGUGAGUAACGCGUGAGGAACCUGCCUCAAAGAGGGGGACAACAGUUGGAAACGACUGCUAAUACCGCAUAAGCCCACGACCCGGCAUCGGGUAGAGGGAAAAGGAGCAAUCCGCUUUGAGAUGGCCUCGCGUCCGAUUAGCUAGUUGGUGAGGUAAUGGCCCACCAAGGCGACGAUCGGUAGCCGGACUGAGAGGUUGAACGGCCACAUUGGGACUGAGACACGGCCCAGACUCCUACGGGAGGCAGCAGUGGGGAAUAUUGCACAAUGGGGGAAACCCUGAUGCAGCGACGCCGCGUGGAGGAAGAAGGUCUUCGGAUUGUAAACUCCUGUUGUUGAGGAAGAUAAUGACGGU
rnacentral:rRNA from 1 species